rnacentral:rRNA from 1 species
CCUACGGGAGGCAGCAGUAAGGAAUAUUGGACAAUGGCCGCAAGGCUGAUCCAGCCAUCCAGCGUGCAGGAAGAAGGCCCUAUGGGUUGUAAACUGCUUUUAUCAGGGAAGAAACCUCUGGAUUCACUCCGGAGCUGACGGUACCUGAAGAAUAAGCACCGGCUAACUCCGUGCCAGCAGCCGCGGUAAUACGGAGGGUGCGAGCGUUAUCCGGAAUUACUGGGUUUAAAGGGUGCGUAGGCGGCUUUGUAAGUCAGGAGUGAAAGUUUGCGGCUCAACCGUAAAAUUGCUUCUGAUACUGCAUGGCUAGAAUUAGGAUGAGGUCAGCGGAAUGUGGCAUGUAGCGGUGAAAUGCAUAGAUAUGCCAUAGAACACCAAUUGCGAAGGCAGCUGACUAGACCUGGAUUGACGCUGAGGCACGAAAGCGUGGGGAGCGAACAGGAUUAGAUACCCUGGUAGUCCACGCCCUAAACGAUGCUUACUCGACGUAUGAAGCUAGACUUUGUGCGUCCAAGGGAAACCGUUAAGUAAGCCACCUGGGGAGUACGACCGCAAGGUUGAAACUCAAAGGAAUUGACGG